rnacentral:rRNA from 1 species
ACUGCUCAGUAACACGUGGAUAACCUACCCAAGAGUCCGGGAUAACCCCGGGAAACUGGGGAUAAUACCGGAUAGGUCAGACUUGCUGGAAGGCUGUUUGGCUGAAACUUCCGGGGCUUUUGGAUGGGUCUGCGGCUGAUUAGGUUGUUGCCGGUGUAACGUACCGUCAAGCCUGUAGUCAGUACGGGUUGUGGGAGCAAGAGCCCGGAGAUGGAUUCUGAGACACGAAUCCAGGCCCUACGGGGCGCAGCAGGCGCGAAAACUCUACAAUGCAGGCGACUGCGAUAGGGGAACAUCGAGUGAUCCUCAUAUUGGGGGUCUGUCCACCCGCCUAAAAAGCGGGUGUUAGCAAGGGCCGGGCAAGACCGGUGCCAACCGCCGCGGUAAUACCGGCGGCUCGAGUGGUGGCCGAUAUUAUUGAGUCUAAAGGGUCCGUAGCCGGCUUUGCAAGUCUCUCGGGAAAUCCAGCGGCUUAACCGUUGGUCGUCCGGGGGGUACUACAUUGCUUGGGACUGGGAGAGGUAGGAGGUACUCAGGGGGUAGGAGUGAAAUCCUGUAAUCCUUUGGGGACCACCGGUGGCGAAGGCGUCCUACCAGAACAGGUCCGACGGUGAGGGACGAAAGCUAGGGGCACGAACCGGAUUAGAUACCCGGGUAGUCCUAGCCGUAAACGAUGCUCGCUAGGUGUCACAACAGUCGUGAACUGUUGUGGUGCCGUAGGGAAGCCGUGAAGCGAGCCACUUGGGAAGUACGACCGCAAGGUUGAAACUUAAAGGAAUUGGCGGGGGAGCAC